ACAUGCGACGGAAGUGAAGUUUCGGAUGGAGCGAAGAUGUAUGUCUAGCGCGGACGGGUGAGUAACGCGUGAGCAACCUGUCCCUUACAGGGGGAUAACACAGCGAAAGUUGUACUAAUACCGCAUAAGACCACGGGAUUCACAUGGAUCAGGGGUCAAAGGAGCAAUCCGGUAAGGGGUGGGCUCGCGUCCGAUUAGAUAGUUGGUGAGUAACGGCCCACCAAGUCGACGAUCGGUAGCCGACCUGAGAGGGUGAUCGGCCACAUUGGGACUGAGACACGGCCCAACUCCUACGGGAGGCAGCAGUGGGGAAUAUUGGGCAAUGGGGGGAAACCCUGACCCAGCAACGCCGCGUGAGGGAAGAAGGUUUUCGGAUCGUAAACCUCUGUCCUUGGUGAAGAGUAAGAGACGGUAGCCAAGGAGGAAGCCCCGGCUAACUACGUGCCAGCCGCAGC
rnacentral:rRNA from 1 species